AGAUGCGACAGAGCCGUGCGGAGAUGCAGGCCAUGAGGGGACAGAUUGAUCGGCUUACAUCUUUAUUAGAGAUGUAUGGCCCAUCUCAGGCUCCUGGCACAUCAGGCACCCGUCGAGACAACGGCACGUCACGUGGAGACAGCGACGACCAUCCGCCUGCGGAUUGAUAUUAUUUUAUUUUUAUUGUAUUCUUAUAUUUAUUUAUAUUACUCUUGAUUGUAAUAGAUGAUUAGUACUUUAUUUUUAUUUAUAUAAAAUAAUAUCUUUUGGUUUGGUUAAA